UACAGAGGUGGCAAGCGUUGUUCGGAAUUACUGGGCGUAAAGGGCGCGUAGGCGGUCUUCUAAGUUCCGUGUGAAAUCCCUCGGCUCAACUGGGGAACUGCACGGAAAACUGGAAGGCUUGAGUUCGGGAGAGGGAAGCGGAAUUCCGGGUGUAGCGGUGAAAUGCGUAGAUAUCCGGAGGAACACCGGUGGCGAAGGCGGCUUCCUGGACCGACACUGACGCUGAGGCGCGAAAGCUAGGGGAGCAAACGGG
rnacentral:rRNA from 1 species